rnacentral:rRNA from 1 species
UACGUAGGGUGCAAGCGUUGUCCGGAAUUAUUGGGCGUAAAGAGCUCGUAGGCGGUCUGUCGCGUCUGCUGUGAAAACUCAGGGCUUAACCCUGAGCUUGCAGUGGGUACGGGCAGACUAGAGUGCGGUAGGGGAGACUGGAAUUCCUGGUGUAGCGGUGAAAUGUGUAGAGAUCGGGAGGAACACCGGUGGCGAAGGCGGGUCUCUGGGCAUCUCCUGACGCUGAGGCGCGAAAGCGUGGGGAGCAAACGGG